UCUUUUUCAGAAAACUGAAAGCUACUUCAAAGAAGUCCAUCAUUUCCUUCCACGGAUUUUCAGGAAAACGACGUCCUGAGAUGGAAAAGUCGGAAGAUCUUCUUUUGGCCUCUUGCCAGAUUUGGAAAAGUUUGAAACCAGACCGGUCAGAAGCCAUUGCUUUUCGCCGGCAGACUGAGAAGAAAGGAGUAAAAAGCGAGGCGGGACGGCGAAAGCGUAUAGAGUGCGUGCCGACAAGGAGUGGGAGGGCCAGCCGAGCGUUCAGAGACCCACUAUCCUUCAUUUAACUCGGCCAAGUUGCUGAAAUCCCUGCCAGCUGUUCUCCAGCCAAACCUGACCUCUGACCCCGCACCCUCAGGCCUCCGCAGACCCAGCCGAUGACUGCUCAGGGCUUUGGAAGGCGGCUCCUCACCGAAACCGCACAGCAACACCAGCUCCAGGUUAUGUGCUCACAGAGGCUAAAGCUAAGAGCUAACAACAGAAAUGAGCAACCGCUUACAUUGGGUUUGCUAGUCAGCAAAGCUGCAAUAUGUAACUUAUAUUGAAAUAAACAUUUUUUUAACC